rnacentral:tRNA from 1 species
CUUUAGAUAAGCUAAUUAACUAUAAGCUAUUGGGCUCAUAACCCAAAUAUGGUAGAAUCCUCUAAAGG